rnacentral:lncRNA from 1 species
UGGAUCUCAUUAAAUCUACAUAAAUAUCGUCAAUGGAUAUCUCUACAAUAUCUCUGGGUUGCUCAUACUCUCUUCUCAGCUGUUGCCGGUUAGUGCAACAACAGGUUUGCUAUAUUAAUCUUCAUUUAAUACACAAGAUAGUAUUAUUCUCACAACUUCAGCAGUUAUCAUUGUUCUACAUAUUUGCUAGCCUGAUCUGGGUUCUCUCUGUACAUCAC